UACGAAGGGGGCUAGCGUUGCUCGGAAUCACUGGGCGUAAAGGGUGCGUAGGCGGGUUUUUAAGUCAGAGGUGAAAUCCUGGAGCUCAACUCCAGAACUGCCUUUGAUACUGAAAGUCUUGAGUAUGGGAGAGGUGAGUGGAACUGCGAGUGUAGAGGUGAAAUUCGUAGAUAUUCGCAAGAACACCAGUGGCGAAGGCGGCUCACUGGCCCAUUACUGACGCUGAGGCACGAAAGCGUGGGGAGCGAACGGG
rnacentral:rRNA from 1 species